rnacentral:rRNA from 1 species
GACGAACGCUGGCGGCGUGCUUAACACAUGCAAGUCGAACGGUGAUCUUGGGAGCUUGCUCCUGGGUGAUCAGUGGCGAACGGGUGAGUAACACGUGAGUAACCUGCCCCUGACUCUGGAAUAACCCCGGGAAACCGGGGCUAAUACCGGAUAUGACAUCAUCCCGCAUGGGUGUGGUGUGGAAAGUUUUUUCGGUUGGGGAUGGGCUCGCGGCCUAUCAGCUUGUUGGUGAGGUAGUGGCUCACCAAGGCGACGACGGGUAGCCGGCCUGAGAGGGCGACCGGCCACACUGGGACUGAGACACGGCCCAGACUCCUACGGGAGGCAGCAGUGGGGAAUAUUGCACAAUGGGCGGAAGCCUGAUGCAGCGACGCCGCGUGAGGGAUGACGGCCUUCGGGUUGUAAACCUCUUUCAGCUCUGAAGAAGCGAAAGUGACGGUAGGAGCAGAAGAAGCACCGGCUAACUACGUGCCAGCCGCCGCGGUAAGAC